rnacentral:piRNA from 1 species
UGACUAGCACGAAGUCUGGAAACUCUGGG